rnacentral:rRNA from 1 species
CCUACGGGUGGCAGCAGUGAGGAAUAUUGGUCAAUGGCCGCGAGCCUGAACCAGCCAAGUCGCGUGAAGGAUGACGGCCCUACGGGUUGUAAACUUCUUUUGUCAGGGAAUAAAGUGAAGCACGUGUGCCUCUUUUUGUGUACCUUAUGAAAAAGCAUCGGCUAACUCCGUGCCAGCAGCCGCGGUAAUAAGGCGGAUCCGAGCGUUAUCCGGAUUUAUUUGGUUUAAAGGGUGCGGUGGUGGGUGGUUAAGUUAGGUGGGAAAGUUUGCGGCGUAACCCUAGAAGUGCAGUUGAUACUGGAAGCCUUGAGUGCAGUAGAGGUAGGCGGAAUGCGUGGUGUAGCGGUGAAAUGCGUAGAUAUCACGAAGAACUCCGAUUGCGAAGGCAGCUUAC